rnacentral:lncRNA from 1 species
GCUGAUAAUGUAGACCUCUCAUGAAUGUUUUCACCAUGCUGCUGCGGUCUGAUAUUUAUUUUGUUGUUUGUGAGUCAGUGUAUAUAUUGACUGUUUAAAAAGCGUGACUUAAGAUAAUCAUGAAUCUUAAUGCAUUAUGUUGACAAAUGAAGCAGGAAGUAAAUGCUGAACAGGAACUGAAAAAUGAAGCCUUUACUAUCAUACUUAUAUUAAGUGUCCUGGUGGAUUCAUGUGUAUUGAUCACAUAUGUGUGUUAAUAGUGAAAUAUAAAAUUUCAACCACAGGACAGUUCUUUCUCAUCAUUUUGUGGAUAAAGGCAUAAUUGUGUUCAUAGAGAAUGGUUUGUGGAAGUGGCUUUGAGCCCAUGCGGUGGUUUUCACUGCAGAGUCACGUCAAACUUCACUCUGAUAACAAGCUGGGCCCUCUCUUUGCAAAUACGAGUACAUGGUGUCCAUGAUUUCCAAAAACAAAUGACCAGAAGGCAAAAGACCAGAGGCAUCUUCCCAUACAGUUCUCAACUAAGUCCAUCUUAAAGUGAACCUGAAAUCUCAUGUACUGUACAUGUUAAAGAAGUUUUUUCAGACAAAAUCUUCAUCCUGUUGUUUCCUGACAAUGAAAGUUAUCACUCACUGUGAGUCUUUGUCGUGUAAAAAGGCCAAACGUCUAUUUUUCAGCCUGCUGUCAAUCAUCUUGUCUGACAUCUAGAAAUCACCACAGUGAAAUCAUCAGACUUGUUGCUGAUGGUCUUUUUUUUGCUUUUGAAUGUCAUUAGAAAACAGAAGGUAUGGAGUUAAAGCAGUCUGACCUUCUCCUACUGACAUGUAACAAACACGGACGUCAUUGAAGUCAGAUAGCCUGAACGAGUGACAUCUGCCAGCAGGUGACUAAGUGCUGCGGUUGGCACUGCUUCCUCCCAACAAGUGGGUUCAGGGUUUGGUAAGAGGUUACAGCACUCCCUUUUUGGGGCAAGACAAUUCUUGCUUUUUCAUACUUAUAUGCAGAUCUUGACUCGUACAGACAAGAAUGAACUUGUAAAUUAUACAACCUGAACAGGAGGGAGGUGUGUUUACACAACGAUCAGAUCUACUUCUAUACAGGAAGUAGGUUCGGAGCUUGUAGCCAGGCUUGGGCCUUCAGUUUUUGGAACAAAGUUGUUCUGGCCUUUCCCCACUGGAAUGUUGAACAUGAUUCAAAGUACUUGUCAUUGUAAGUAAAAAAAGACAUCAGCAUGUGACACCUACCAGCUGGUAACUUGGCACAAUGGUUAGCACUGCUGCCCCAAGGGGCAAGUUAAAGUUCAUUCAGGGUUAAAGGCGAGAGCGUCUCCCUGUAUGGAGCAGGAAGGUUUUUGUUUUCUCCUACUUGAGUGUCUACCCUGUUUUUGAACCGCCAGAAUGGACUUGUAGGUGAAAUUACCCGAACACACAUUAAUUGUGUUGUUAUUCUACAGUGAGCUCUGCUGCCGAUUGAGAUGUUGGCUCUGGUUUAGGUUAAAGGAAUGUACUUGAAAGUCACAAAUAAAACUGCUGGGCAGGUGUGAGCUGGCGGUUAGAACUGCUUUCUGGUUCUACUUACAAAUCCCAGACAUGUUUGGCGGAAUGAGAGGCUUGAAUACUUGAUUUAUUUCUAAACCAUCACAAUCUUAUCUUAUAAACUUGUCUGCUGAU